rnacentral:sRNA from 12 species
GUGAAAAUAAGAAAUUAUCGAACAAAUUCGUUUAGACGAGAGCUGCUAGUAGUAGUUA